rfam:Aedes aegypti strain Liverpool supercont1.88 genomic scaffold, whole genome shotgun sequence.
GGCUCGGUAGCUUAGUUGGUAAAGCACUCGUCUAGCAAACAUGAGUCCUGGAUUCGAAUCCCAGCCGAUCA